rnacentral:rRNA from 1 species
AGGUAAUAUUUUUUACAAUUAUAUCUAGUGGCGAACGGGUGAGUAACACGUAUCUAAUCUACCCAUUAGCGGGGAAUAACAGUUAGAAAUGAUUGCUAAUACCGCAUAAUAUAUUUUUUGGCAUCAGAUAAUAUUGAAAGAUCCGUAUGGAUCACUAAUGGAUGAGGAUGCGGUGUAUUAGUUAGUUGGUGGGGUAAUGGCCUACCAAGACAAUGAUACAUAGCCGAACUGAGAGGUUGAUCGGCCACAUCGGGACUGAGACACGGCCCGAACUCCUACGGGAGGCAGCAGUAGGGAAUUUUUCACAAUGGGCGAAAGCCUGAUGGAGCAAUGCCGCGUGACUGAAGAAGGUCUUAGGAUUGUAAAGGUCUGUUGUAAGGGAAGAAUAUUAAAUAAAGGAAAUAGUAUUUAUCUGACUGUACCUUACCAGAAAGCCACGGCUAACUAUGUGCCAGCAGCCGCGGUAAUACAUAGGUGGCAAGCGUUAUCCGGAUUUAUUGGGCGUAAAGCGUGCGCAGACGGUUUAGUAAGUUUGAGGUCAAAUCCUGGAGCUCAACUCCAGUUCGCCUUGAAAACUGCUAGGCUAGAGUUUAGGAAAUGUCGAUGGAAUUCCAUGUGUAGCGGUGAAAUGCGUAGAUAUAUGGAGGAACACCAGUGGCGAAGGCGGUCGACUGGCCUAUAACUGACGUUUAGGCACGAAAGCAUAGGGAGCGAAUAGGAUUAGAUACCCUAGUAGUCUAUGCCGUAAACGAUGAGUACUAAGUGUCGGACUAAGUUCGGUGCUGCAGCUAACGCAUUAAGUACUCCGCCUGAGUAGUAUGCUCGCAAGAGUGAAACUCAAAGGAAUUGACGGGGACCCGCACAAGCGGUGGAGCAUGUGGUUUAAUUCGAAGCAACGCGAAGAACCUUACCAAGGCUUGACAUCCAGUGCGAAGCUGUAGAAAUACAGUGGAGGUUAACAUUGAGACAGGUGGUGCAUGGUUGUCGUCAGCUCGUGCCGUGAGGUGUUUGGUUAAGUCCAGUAACGAGCGCAACCCUUGCCGUUAGUUACUUACAUUAAGUUGAGAUACUCUAACGGGACUGCUAGUGUAAGCUAGAGGAAGGUGGGGAUGACGUCAAAUCAGCAUGCCCCUUAUGUCUUGGGCUACACACGUGCUACAAUGGUCGGUACAAACAGUUGCAAUCUCGUAAGAGGGAGCUAAUCUGAAAAAGCCGAUCUAAGUUCGGAUUGAGGGCUGCAACUCGCCCUCAUGAAGUCGGAAUCGCUAGUAAUCGCGAAUCAGCAAUGUCGCGGUGAAUACGUUCUCGGGUCUUGUACACACCGCCCGUCACACCAUGAGAGUUGAUAAUACCAGAAGUCGG